rnacentral:rRNA from 1 species
AACGAACGCCGGCGGCACGCCUAACACAUGCAAGUCGCACGAGAAGUCCCCGGCAAGGGGACCGGUAAAGUGGCAGACGGGUGAGUAACGCGUGGGUAACCUACCCUCGAGUGGGGGAUAACCCCGGCGAAAGCGGGGCUAAUACCGGCAUAACAUCCCGGGACGCGAGUUUCGGGAUCGAAGGUGGCUCGCAAGAGCUACCGCUC